CAAAAUGUAUACACCUGACUAGGACUGUGCAAGUAAUCGAAAGUUAAUCGUGAUUAUGAUUUUGGCUCCCAAUGAUCACAAAAAAAGACUAAUC